AUUGAACGCUGGCGGCGUGCUUAACACAUGCAAGUCGAUCGGUAACAGGUGUAGCAAUACAUGCUGACGAGAGGCGGACGGGUGAGGAACGCUUGGGAAUCUGCCUAUCAGCGGGGGACAACCCGGGGAAACCCGGGCUAAUACCGCAUACGCUCUACGGAGGAAAGCCGGGGACCGCAAGGCCUGGCACUGAUAGAUGAGCCCAAGUCGGAUUAGCUAGUUGGCGGGGUAACGGCCCACCAAGGCGACGAUCCGUAGCUGGUCUGAGCGGACGCGCAGCCACACCGGAACUGAGACACGGUCCGGACUCCUACGGUAGGCAGCAGUGGGGAAUAUUGGACAAUGGGCGAAAGCCUGAUCCAGCGACGCCGCGUGGGUGAAGAAGGCCUCCGGGUUGUAAAGCCCUUUCGGUAGGGACGAAAGCUCUCGACCUAACACGUCGGGAGGUUGACUUAACCUACAAAAGAAGCACCGGCUAACUCUGUGCCAGCCGCCGCGGUAACAC
rnacentral:rRNA from 1 species